rnacentral:rRNA from 1 species
CAUUUAAAGUGGUACGCGAGCUGGGUUUAGAACGUCGUGAGACAGUUCGGUCCCUAUCUGCCGUGGGCGCUGGAGAACUGAGGGGGGCUGCUCCUAGUACGAGAGGACCGGAGUGGACGCAUCACUGGUGUUCGGGUUGUCAUGCCAAUGGCACUGCCCGGUAGCUAAAUGCGGAAGAGAUAAGUGCUGAAAGCAUCUAAGCACGAAACUUGCCCCGAGAUGAGUUCUCCCUGACCCUUUAAGGGUCCUGAAGGAACGUUGAAGACGACGACGUUGAUAGGCCGGGUGUGUAAGCGCAGCGAUGCGUUGAGCUAACCGGUACUAAUGAACCGUGAGGCUUAACCUUACAACGCCGAAGGUGUUUUG